rnacentral:rRNA from 1 species
UGCAAGUCGAGCGGAGAUGUUGGAGCUUGCUCCAACAUCUUAGCGGCGGACGGGUGAGUAACACGUGGGCAACCUGCCCUGCAGAUCGGGAUAACUCCGGGAAACCGGUGCUAAUACCGAAUAGUUUGCGGCCUCUCAUGAGGCCACACGGAAAGACGGUUUCGGCUGUCACUGCAGGAUGGGCCCGCGGCGCAUUAGCUAGUUGGUGAGGUAACGGCUCACCAAGGCCACGAUGCGUAGCCGACCUGAGAGGGUGAUCGGCCACACUGGGACUGAGACACGGCCCAGACUCCUACGGGAGGCAGCAGUAGGGAAUCUUCCGCAAUGGACGAAAGUCUGACGGAGCAACGCCGCGUGAGUGAAGAAGGUUUUCGGAUCGUAAAACUCUGUUGUGAGGGAAGAACAAGUACCAAGUAACUACUGGUACCUUGACGGUACCUCACCAGAAAGCCACGGCUAACUACGUGCCAGCAGCCGCGGUAAUACGUAGGUGGCAAGCGUUGUCCGGAAUUAUUGGGCGUAAAGCGCGCGCAGGCGGUCCUUUAAGUCUGAUGUGAAAGCCCACGGCUCAACCGUGGAGGGUCAUUGGAAACUGGGGGACUUGAGUGCAGAAGAGGAAAGUGGAAUUCCACGUGUAGCGGUGAAAUGCGUAGAGAUGUGGAGGAAC